rnacentral:rRNA from 1 species
CCUACGGGGGGCUGCAGUGGGGAAUAUUGGACAAUGGGGGGAACCCUGAUCCAGCCAUGCCGCGUGUGUGAAGAAGGCCCUCGGGUUGUAAAGCACUUUCAGUGAGGAAGAACGCCUGGUGGUUAAUACCCAUCAGGAAAGACAUCACUCACAGAAGAAGCACCGGCUAACUCCGGGCCAGCAGCCGCGGUAAUACGGAGGGUGCGAGCGUUAAUCGGAAUUACUGGGCGUAAAGCGCGCGUAGGUGGCUUGAUAAGCCGGUUGUGAAAGCCCCGGGCUCAACCUGGGAACGGCAUCCGGAACUGUCAAGCUAGAGUGCAGGAGAGGAAGGUAGAAUUCCCGGUGUAGCGGUGCAAUGCGUAGAGAUCGGGAGGAAUACCAGUGGCGAAGGCGGCCUUCUGGACUGACACUGACACUGAGGUGCGAAAGCGUGGGUAGCACACAGGAUUAGAUACCCUAGUAGUC